CCUACGGGAGGCAGCAGUGAGGAAUAUUGGUCAAUGGACGCAAGCCUGAACCAGCCAUGCCGCGUGCAGGAAGACAGCCCUAUGAGUUGUAAACUGCUUUUGUACGGGGGUAAAUACCGAUACGUGUAUCGGUUUGAAAGUACCUUAUGAAUAAGCAUCGGCUAAUUCCGUGCCAGCAGCCGCGGUAAUACGGAGGAUUCGAGCGUUAUCCGGAUUUAUUGGGUUGAAGGGGAGCGUAGGCGGUUCCAUAAGUCAGCGGUAAAAUCGUGCGGCUCAACCGGAGAGGUGCGGUGAAUAUGGGGGACGAGAGUAUGCGCAGGGGACAUGGAAUUCGUGGUGUAGUGGUGAAAUGCUUAGAGAUCACGAAGAA
rnacentral:rRNA from 1 species